rnacentral:rRNA from 1 species
UACGUAGGGUGCGAGCGUUGUCCGGAAUUACUGGGCGUAAAGAGCUCGUAGGUGGUUUGUCGCGUUGUUCGUGAAAACCUGAGGCUUAACCUUGGGCGUGCGGGCGAUACGGGCAGACUGGAGUACUGCAGGGGAGACUGGAAUUCCCGGUGUAGCGGUGGAAUGCGCAGAUAUCAGGAGGAACACCGGUGGCGAAGGCGGGUCUCUGGGCAGUAACUGACGCUGAGGAGCGAAAGCGUGGGGAGCGAACAGG